CGCUGCCGCUGCUGCCGCCGCCGCCGCCGCCGCGGAGUAAAACCUUCCCGCCUGCGCUCCGAGUUCUCCAGCGCUCUGCUCGCCGUGGUACGGCAGCGAAAAGUUGUCCUGGCCAUUUGGAACAAGGUGAGCUCACAAGGUCACAUGCUGAACUCACUGGUGUUGACACCGACGGCAGGGGCAGAUCAUCUCCUGUGUUACACUGAGCAGGCCAGCCGUGUGUCCCUCUCGUUGCUCCGAGGCUGAACAUCACCUCUCUGGCUUUAGAUACACUACCUCGCUGCAGGAAAUCCACCAGUGUCCCCAUGAUAAACUCACCUUCUGUCCACAGUUAGCCCACUCACACAUUCUCUAAUAACAUGUACACAAGUGUUACAUUUACAGUGACAUCUUCCUCUGUACCCUGCAGUGGAUUCUGAUGGCAGGAUGGUUCAGUAAUACUGCUGCGAUGACACACUUGGCACAGAAGCUUAGGCUGCCACUCUCAGCCUGAUGAAAGCACCCACUGCUUGGUGGAAAUAUAUUUAGUCUCACAUCAGAAAGGACCACUGUGGGAAAACACAGCGCAAGAGAGCACUAGGCUAAGGAAGACGGAAGACAUCCUGUAAUGAUACCUGCCUCUUUUUUUACCCACAGAAGUUAAUUCCACACUUUUUUUAAUGUUCACAUGAGGUCAGUUUUAUGAUCUAUUAAAUGUAAUUGAGCGCCUACCUUUUUCUCGUGUACUAAAUGUCACUAAUGUACUAAAGCACUAAUGAGCAUGUGGGUGACAUUUAGGUUAUUGAGCAGUGCCAAGGAGGAACUAGAGCAAGAAAGCCAGCAUGUUUUUGGAGGUGGGAAGAACUGGAGAACCUGGAGGAAACCAAUGCAGAUAUAUGAAGAGAACAUGUGACACUCCGCACUGAGAGUACCCUGAGUUCAAGAUCAACACUACCCACUGCUCUAUCAUGCUCCCCUCUAAUCUGCAAAAGUUUCCUUAAAGUACAAAAAGGAUGCAGUAGCUAUAAAAUGCACAUAGUAGUACUGGCCAGGCUACAUACAAUAAGAGAUACCUGAGAAAAGCAAACAGCAUCAUUUUGGAAUUAACACAUUCCAGCUACAGCUUGUUUAAUCCUCUAUCAUCUCGGAAAUGUUACCAGCUUCUGAGUCUGAAUGAACAACCAAAAUCAAGAAGAACUACUUACACUCUUGUUGCCACACUGGUCACACCAGUGGUGGGUGGGUUAGUGGUUAGCAUGCUUGCCCUGCACCUCCAGGGUUGGGGGCUCGAUUCCGCCCUGCAUGCGCAGAGCUUGUAUGUUCUUCCUGUGCUUUGUGGGUAUUCUGGCUUCCUCUCCCAGUCCAAAGACCUGCGUCGCCUGAUUGGCAUCCCUAAAUUGUCCGUAGUGUGUGAAUGGUUGUGUGAGUGUGUGUGCCCUGUGAUGGACUGGCGCCCUGAGUCCCCUGGGAUAGGCUCCAGGCUCCCUGUGUCCCUGUGUAGGAUAAGCAGUACAGAGAUGGAUGGAUGGAUCUACUUCAAAUGCUGUGAAACACAGUGCACAACCAAAAUGAAUGCUGUAGGGCUGACCUUGCACAUCGUGAACCUUGAGCUUUAUAACCUUGACUUGUAACUGUGAACUUCACUACUUUGUUACUGAAUACAAAAUAAUACAAGGCAAUUUUUUUGCAAACUUUUUCACAUUAAUAAUGAGAUUUUACUGUGAUACUGUGAACUGUGAAUUGCAAAUAUUUUAAUUGUCAUAAACACCUAAGAACAGCCCAAAUGUGUUUCAUAUUA